CAAUCGGUUAGUAGACAACAGGGAUUGCCUUAGUAACGGCGAGUGAAGCGGUAACAGCUCAAAUUUGAAAUCUGGCCCUUGGGUCCGAAUUGUAAUUUGUAGAGGAUGAUUUUGGUGCGGUAUCUUCCGAGUUCCUUGGAACAGGACGCCUUAGAGGGUGAGAGCCCCGUACGGUUGAAUGCCUAGCCUCUGUAAAUCUCCUUCGACGAGUCGAGUAGUUUGGGAAUGCUGCUCUAAAUGGGAGGUAAAUUUCUUCUAAAGCUAAAUAUUGGCCAGAGACCGAUAGCGCACAAGUAGAGUGAUCGAAAGAUGAAAAGCACUUUGAAAAGAGGGUUAAAUAGCACGUGAAAUUGUUGAAAGGGAAGGAUUUGUGACCAGACUUUUUCUGGGCGGAUCAUCCGGGGUUCUCUCCGGUGCACUUCGCCCAGUAAAGGCCAGCAUCGGUUUUCGGCGUGGGAUAAAAGCAGUAGGAAUGUGGCUCUCUACGGGGAGUGUUAUAGCCUAUUGUAUAAUACCGCGCUGGGGACCGAGGUUCGCGCUUCUGCAAGGAUGCUGGCGUAAUGGUUAUCAAUCACCCGUCUUGAAACACGGACCAAGGAGUCGAACAUUUGUGCGAGUGUUUGGGUGUUAAACCCUCACGCGUAAUGAAAGUGAACGGAGGUGAGAGCCCUUACGGGUGCAUCAUCGACCGAUCCUGAAGUUUUCGGAUGGAUUUGAGUAAGAGCAUAACUGUUCGGACCCGAAAGAUGGUGAACUAUGCGUGGAUAGGGUGAAGCCAGAGGAAACUCUGGUGGAGGCUCGCAGCGGUUCUGACGUGCAAAUCGAUCGUCAAAUCUGCGCAUGGGGGCGAAAGACUAAUCGAACCAUCUAGUAGCUGGUACCGC
rnacentral:rRNA from 1 species